rnacentral:rRNA from 1 species
GACGAACGCUGGCGGCGUGCUUAACACAUGCAAGUCGAACGGAAAGGCCCUGCUUUUGUGGGGUGCUCGAGUGGCGAACGGGUGAGUAACACGUGAGUAACCUGCCCUUGACUUUGGGAUAACUUCAGGAAACUGGGCUUAUACCGGAAAGGAACCCCCGCUGCAAGGGGGGGGGUGGGAAGUUUUCGCCGUGGGGGGCUGAAUUCGCGGCUUUCCGGCUUGUUGGUGGGUGGGUGGCUUACCAAGCUUUUGGCGGGUACCCGGCCGGGGAGGGUGACCGGCCACAUUGGGACUGGGAUGCGGCCCCGACUCCUACGGGAGGCAGCAGUGGGGAAUAUUGCACAAUGGGCGGAAGCCUGAUGCAGCAACGCCGCGUGCGGGAUGACGGCCUUCGGGUUGUAAACCGCUUUCGCCUGUGACGAAGCGUGAGUGACGGUAAUGGGUAAAGAAGCACCGGCUAACUACGUG